rnacentral:rRNA from 1 species
UACAGAGGUCUCAACCGUUGUUCGGAUUCAUUGGGCGUAAAGGGCGCGUAGGCGGUCGUGCAAGUCGGAUGUGAAAUCUCAGGGCUCAACCCUGAAACUGCAUUCGAUACUGCGCGGCUAGAGUGCUGGAGGGGAGACUGGAAUUCACGGUGUAGCAGUGAAAUGCGUAGAUAUCGUAAGGAAGACCAGUGGCGAAGGCGAGUCUCUGGACAGCAACUGACGCUGAGGCACGAAGGCCAGGGGAGCAAACGGG